rnacentral:rRNA from 1 species
UACGUAGGUGGCAAGCGUUGUUCGGAUUCAUUGGGCGUAAAGGGUGCGUAGGUGGCGCGGUAAGUCGGGUGUGAAAUUUCGGAGCUUAACUCCGAAACUGCAUUCGAUACUGCCGUGCUUGAGGACUGGAGAGGAGACUGGAAUUUACGGUGUAGCAGUGAAAUGCGUAGAGAUCGUAAGGAAGACCAGUGGCGAAGGCGGGUCUCUGGACAGUUCCUGACACUGAGGCACGAAGGCCAGGGGAGCAAACGGG